ACUGAGAAGUCCCCAGCUGCAACCAAACAGCACCUCACAAUGCUUUCUUGUAUUUUAUUACCUUUUGGAUGGCUCCAGCUCCAGCUCACUGGUGAUCAGAGACCCUGAAAAUAAAGUGCUGUUAGAGAGAAAGGGACAUAGGGGACCUGUAUGGCUCCGAGAGAAGAUCACCUUCCUGGAUUCAAGUCAGAGCUUCCAGAUUAUCAUUGAGGGAUUUGCCGGAGCAGAGGGAGAUACUGUGGCUCUUGAUGAUCUUAUACUGUCCCCUGGUUGCAAUGUACAAG